rnacentral:rRNA from 1 species
AAUGAACGUUGGCGGCGUGGAUUAGGCAUGCAAGUCGAGCGUGAAGCCCCGCAAGGGGUGGAAAGCGGCGUAAGGGAGAGGAACACGUGGUUUAUCUGCCCUCAGGACCGGGAUAGCUGCGGGAAACUGCAGGUAAUACCGGAUAAUGUCUCCGGACCAAUUGGUGCGAUUCCGCCCUAGGACGAGACCGCGUCCUAUUAGCUAGUUGGUGGGGUAAUGGCCUAGCAAGGCAAUGAUGGGUACCGGGUGUGAGAGUACGAGCCGGCUCACUGGGACUGAGACACUGCCCAGACACCGACGGGUGGCUGCAGUCGAGGAUCUUCGGCAAUGGGCGCAAGCCUGACCGAGCGACGCCGCGUGUGGGAUGAAGGCCUUCGGGUUGUAAACCACUGUCAGAGGGGAUGAAAUGCGUAGGGGUUCUCUCCUACGUUUGACAUAGCCUCAGAGGAAGUACGGGCUAAGUUCGUGCCAGCCGCCGCGGUAAUAC